AGAGUUUGAUCAUGGCUCAGGAUGAACGCUAGCGGGAAGGCCUAACACAUGCAAGCCGAGCGGUAUGUUUCUUCGGAAAUGAGAGAGCGGCGUACGGGUGCGGAACACGUGUGCAACCUGCCUUUAUCUGGGGGAUAGCCCUUUUACGAAAAGGGAAGAUUAAUACUCCAUAAUAUAUUGAUUGGCAUCAAUUAAUAUUGAAAGCUCCGGCGGAUAGAGAUGGGCACGCGCAAGAUUAGCUAGUUGGUGAGGUAACGGCUCACCAAGGCGAUGAUCUUUAGGGGGCCUGAGAGGGUGAUCCCCCACACUGGUACUGAGACACGGACCAGACUCCUACGGGAGGCAGCAGUGAGGAAUAUUGGUCAAUGGGUGCAAGCCUGAACCAGCCAUCCCGCGUGAAGGACGACUGCCCUAUGGGUUGUAAACUUCUUUUGUAUAGGGAUAAACCUACCCUCGUGAGGGUAGCUGAAGGUACUAUACGAAUAAGCACCGGCUAACUCCGUG
rnacentral:rRNA from 1 species